GUGCUGAAGGUAACCCAGGAAAGAGCCUUGGAGCGGCUCUCUGGCAUCUGCCAGGUCAAGGAAAGCUACCCACUGACUUCCAGAGUCUUUGGAUGGGGUCCAGAGUGAAAUCAGUGCCUGAUCCCUAAGCUGCUGGGUAGCUGAGGGGGGCUUUAUGAUUUGGGAUAGCUUUUGCAGUUUAAAGUGUUGGCAUUGAGUGGUAAAUGUAGUUUAUCCGGAUGAUGCAUUUCCUAUUUCAGUUUCUUAUUUCAAUUACAAAUACUGGCUUAAUGCAACCAUUACCAAACGGAAGCCUUUAAAAUUCAAGAGGAAAAAGUUUCCAAAAUUGUGUGAAUUGAUCUGUCACUCAUACUGACUGACUGCCCAACAAAUCAGUCCUAAGCCAAAAGGCAGAGAAUAACCUGCACCUCCAGGUCUAUAUCUCCAAGCAGAAGAUAACAACAACUGCCUAAUUCCCUUUAAAGAGCAGCAAUAGAAAAUCGGGCUUUAUUUUUGAUGAGAAGUCAACAGGAGCUGCUUGGAUUGUACUACAGGAGAAGGGGAUUGAGAAGAUAGAAACAUAAAGUUCGGGAGACUGAGCUGGUAGAUAAACUCAUAUUGGAUUUGUGGCCUCCUUCUGUUUAAGAAAUGUAGCCCUUAUCGUGCCAUUGGUUUUUAAGCAAAGCUCUCCAUUGAUUUCAGAGGGGUGUCCUACCUGAAAAUCAAUGUCAGGAGAUGCCCCCGUGUGUUUACCUACUCUGAUUUGGCUAUUGAUUAUUAAUAACUUCACAGAUACUAACAAGGUAAAAAGCCAGGACAGAGGUUCUGUGAAUUUAAGCCAGGAAUUCCCUGGGAAAGCUGGCGUGGCAUUGGAAGAAUACCCCUUUUUUGCAGUGACACCCCAAAAUGUGCAGACUGUGGCUCUCCAGGUCGUGGGCAGAAUGUGCCUGGUCUCUCCGCACAGCGCUUCUCAAAUCCACUAAAAUCAACACAAUAAUUGAAAUAUUUUCAAGCUGAUUACACCGCUGCCUGAGGCUAGGCUGGUUGCUAAGGGUAAGCUCCCUGGUUGCUAGGGGGAGUAAAUCAUCUUGCAUUAUUUGAUUUUUGUUAUAGAUAUGAAACCGCUACUCCCUCGAUUAAAUGUCUCUCAGUCUAACACCUAUGGGACCUGGGGAAAGAGAAAAGAAAAGCAGCAACCUUGACCCUGUCAAAUAAAUAUCUCUAACUUUUCCUGUCCUCCGGCUUC
rnacentral:lncRNA from 1 species